GCAGAAGUAGGAACAUCUCAUUAAGUCAGUAAAACAUCACAGCAAAAGGAAAAGCGGGUGUGGUGCUUGGAAAAUAAAAUUAAGAUACAUCAAGAUGUAUAGAGAAAUUCAGCAAGCAUUGGAAGAAGCAGCAAAGGAUGACAGCACCUUAAUUGCUAUAACAGGUAUUUAAUCUCCAGGACGUUCUGAGAGACUUGUUUUUAAGAGAGAUAUUUGUGGGUGGAAGGCAAG
rnacentral:lncRNA from 11 species